CAGCUGGGAGCCGUUUGCAAAUCGCUCCGCAAUCCAUCAGCGCCCACAGGAGGCGGCGCGGCGCCUCCGCAGCUCCACAAAUAGAAGGGAGGCUUUGCAACGGGAACGAACGGCCGUGCAACGCCGUGCAAAUCCGUGCAACUCCGUGCAACGCCGUGCAACGCCGUGCAAAGCCGUGCGACCCCUUUGCACGCAGCAAAACCCGUGGGCAGCUGCAAACCGCACGCCCCGAGCGAAAGGGUUUUGCAACGCCCGCCCAGCACACGUGCAAGAGCCGAAGCCACGUGCAAAGCCGGAGCACGCGGUGCAAAGGCGGCGUGCACGUGCAGGGCCCGGGUGGGCGUGCAAACGGCAAAGCCACGUGCAAGCUCUGCACGCAAACACACAAACACACACACACACACACACACAGACGUGUGUGCACACGGAGCACGUUGCAAACGUGCUGCAGGACGCACGGGGUAAAUGCAAACUGCAAAUGCACGUGCACGGCCCGAGCGCGCCUUGCAAACACUCUGCAGGCUCCAAGUGCAGCUGCAAACUCCAAAGCCAUGUGCAAACCCUGCAAACACCCUGCAGACCCCAAACGCAGCUGCAAACCCCAAACCCAUGUGCAAACCCUGAGCUCAGGUUGCAAACACCCUGCAGACCCCAAAUGCAGCUGCAAACCCCAAACCCAUUUGCAAACACUGCAAACACCCUGCAGAUCCCAAACGCAGCUGCAAACCCCAAACUCAUUUGCAAACUUUGCAAACACCCUGCAGACCCCAAAUGCAGCUGCAAACCCCAAACCCAGGUGCAAACCCAGAGCUCAGGUUGCAAACAUCCUACAGACCCCAAACACAGCUGCAAACCCCAAACCCAUUUGCAAACAUUGCAAACACUCUGCAAACCCCAAAUGCAGCUGCAAACCCCAAACCCAGGUGCAAAUCCCAAGCAUGCACUGCAAACACUGUGCAGACCCCCAAAUGCAGCUGCAAACCCCAAACCCAUUUGCAAACAUUGCAAAACACCCUGCAGACCCCAAACACAGCUGCAAACCCCAAACCCAGUUGCAAACAUCCUGCAAACACCCUGCAGAUCCCAAAAUGCAGCUGCAAACCCCAAACCCAGCUGCAAAUCCCAAGCAUGCACUGCAAACACUGUGCAGACCCCCAAAUGCAGCUGCAAACCCCAAACCCAUUUGCAAACAUUGCAAAACACCCUGCAGACCCCAAACACAGCUGCAAACCCCAAACCCAGUUGCAAACAUCCUGCAAACACCCUGUAGAUCCCAAAAUGCAGCUGCAAACCCCAAACCCAGGUGCAAAUCCCAAGCAUGCAUUGCAAACACUGUACAAGACCCAAGAGCACCUGCAAACCCCAAACCCAGUUGCAAACAUUGCAAACACUCUGCAGACCCCAAGAACACUUGCAACCCCCAAACCCAGGUGCAAAUCCCAAGCAUGCACUGCAAACACUGUGCAAGACCCAAGAGCAGCUGCAAACCCCAAAACCAAUUGCAAGCCCAGAGCUCAGGUUGCAAACACCCUGCAGACCCCAAAAUGCAGCUGCAAACCCAAACCCAUUUGCAAACCCUGAGCUCAGGUUGCAAACACCCUGCAGACCCCAAAAUGCAGCUGCAAACCCCAAACCCAGUUGCAAACAUUGCAAACACUCUGCAGACCCCAAGAACACUUGCAACCCCCAAACCCAGGUGCAAAUCCCAAACAUGCACUGCAAACACGGUGCAAAACCCAAGAGCAGCUGCAAACCCCAAACCCAUUUGCAAACCCUGAGCUCUUGUUGCAAACACCCUGCAGACCCCAAAAUGCAGCUGCAAACCCAAACCCAUUUGCAAACCCUGAGCUCUUGUUGCAAACACCCUGCAGACCCCAAAAUGCAGCUGCAAACCCAAACCCAUUUGCAAACCCUGAGCUCUUGUUGCAAACACCCUGCAGACCCCAAAAUGCAGCUGCAAACCCAAACCCAUUUGCAAACCCUGAGCUCUUGUUGCAAACACCCUGCAGACCCCAAAAUGCAGCUGCAAACCCAAACCCAGUUGCAAACACCCUGCAAACACCCUGCAGACCCCAAAUUCCACCUACAAACCCCAAACCCGUUUGCAACCCCCCCUCGUUGCACACACUGCAAACAACCAGCGCCAUCCUGCAGCAGUUUAAUGCCAGCAUUGCACAGCAUGGAGCACCUGCAGCCCCCCACCCCCCCCAUA
ensembl:lncRNA